AGUCCGGUAGUGUAGUGGCCAAGCAUUCGGGGUUCUGGGCCCCGCGAUCGAAGGUUCGAAUCCUUCCCGGACUA
rnacentral:tRNA from 1 species